rnacentral:rRNA from 1 species
UACGAAGGGGGCUAGCGUUGCUCGGAUUGACUGGGCGUAAAGGGCGCGUAGGCGGUUCGUACAGUCAGACGUGAAAUUCCUGGGCUCAACCUGGGGGCUGCGUUUGAUACGUGCGGGCUUGAGUUCGGAAGAGGGUCGUGGAAUUCCCAGUGUAGAGGUGAAAUUCGUAGAUAUUGGGAAGAACACCGGUGGCGAAGGCGGCGACCUGGUCCGAUACUGACGCUGAGGCGCGAAAGCGUGGUGAGCAAACAGG